rnacentral:rRNA from 1 species
GACGUAGGAUGCAAGCGUUGUCCGGAUUUAUUGGGCGUAAAGAGUUCGUAGGUGGUUUGUUAAGUCUGAUGUUAAAGACUGGGGCUCAACCUCGGAAAUGCAUUGGAUACUGGCAGACUUGAGUGUGGUAGAGGCAAUCGGAAUUCCAGGUGUAGCGGUGAAAUGCGCAGAUAUCAGGAGGAACACCGGUGGCGAAGGCGGUUCUCUGGGCAUUACCUGACGCUGAGGAGCGAAAGCGUGGGGAGCAAACAGG